UCGUCAGGUGGGAUAAUCCUUACCUGUUCCUCUUCGGAGGACAGAUAAAACAUGAUGAUUGGAGGUGCAUGAAACGUGAUUAACGUCUCUGCGUAAUCGGGACUUACAACACCCUGGUUACUCCUAUCUGAA
ensembl:snoRNA U8 U8 small nucleolar RNA